AGAAGUAGUUGGAUGCAGUUAAUGCCGCUCUUCCCUCUUUUUCGUUGAAGAACAGGUUGCAGAGAUUGAAAGCUUGAUUUCUUUGAGUGGGAUAGUUGUUCUCUACUUUGCUACAGUCCUCUGUGGCUAUUUAAACCAACCCCCACGGAAACUAGCCGUUAGAGACCUUUUUCUGCCCGUUCUGCACACUCUGCACAGCCUGACAAUAUGUCCGUUGGUGGGUUGGAGUCGACUCGCGCGAUCAGGAGUCGACUCG
rnacentral:lncRNA from 1 species